GACGAACGCUGGCGGCGUGCUUAACACAUGCAAGUCGAGCGAUGAAGCACCUUCGGGUGUGGAUUAGCGGCGAACGGGUGAGGAACACGUGAGGAAUCUGCCUUCCACUCUGGGAUAACUCCGGGAAACCGGGGCUAAUACCGGAUACUUUCAACUGGCGGCAUCGCCGGUUGAAGAAAGUUUUUCGGUGGAAGAUGACCACGCGCCCUAUCAGCGUGUUGGUGAGGUAAUGGCUCACCAAGGCGACGACGGGUAGCCGGCCUGAGAGGGCGACCGGCCACACUGGGACUGAGACACGGCCCAGACUCCUACGGGAGGCAGCGGUGGGGAAUAUUGGGCAAUGGAGGAAACUCUGACACAGCGACGCCGCGUGAGGGAUGAAGGCCUUCGGGUUGUAAACCUCUUUCAGCAGUGAAUAAGCGAAAGUGAAGGUACCUGCAGAAGAAGCACCGGCUAACUAUGUGCCAGCAGCCGCGGUAA
rnacentral:rRNA from 1 species